CCUACGGGCGGCAGCAGUGAGGAAUAUUGGUCAAUGGCUGGAAGGCUGAACCAGCCAAGUCGCGUGAGGGAAGACGGCCCUACGGGUUGUAAACCUCUUUUGUCGGGGAGCAAAGCGAACCACGUGUGGUUCAUUGAGAGUACCCGAAGAAAAAGCAUCGGCUAACUCCGUGCCAGCAGCCGCGGUAAUACGGGGGAUGCGAGCGUUAUCCGGAUUUAUUGGGUGUAAAGGGUGCGCAGGCGGAGGUGCAAGUCAGCGGUCAAAUUGCGGGGCUCAACCCCGUACUGCCGUUGAAACUGCAUCCCUUGAGUGCGCGAGAAGUAUGCGGAAUGCGUGGUGUAGCGGUGAAAUGCAUAGAUAUCACGCAGAACUCCGAUUGCGAAGGCGGCAUACCGGCGCGCAACUGACGCUCAUGCACGAAAGCGUGGGUAUCGAACAGGAUUAGAUACCCCUGUAGUC
rnacentral:rRNA from 1 species